GAUGAACGCUGGCGGCGUGCCCAAACACAUGCAAGUCGCGAGAGGGUUUGCUCAGUAUUGAGUAUUCUAAGUUUAGAAUGUUCAAUUCUGAGCAAAACCAAGCGGCGGACGGGUGAGUAACGCGUGGGUAACCUGCCCUAUACACAUGGAUAACAUACUGAAACAGUUUACUAAUACAUGAUAAUAUAUAUUUGCGGCAUCGCAGAUAUAUCAAAGUGUUAGCGGUAUAGGAUGGACCCGCGUCCGAUUAGCUAGUUGGUGAGAUAACUGCCCACCAAGGCGACGAUCAGUAGCCGACCUGAGAGGGUGAUCGGCCACAUUGGAACUGAGACACGGUCCAAACUCCUACGGGAGGCAGCAGUGGGGAAUAUUGCACAAUGGGCGAAAGCCUGAUGCAGCAACGCCGCGUGAACGAUGAAGGUCUUCGGAUCGUAAAGUUCUGUUGCAGGGGAAGAUAAUGACGGUACCCUGUGAGGAAGCCCCGGCUAACUACGUGCCAGCAGCCGCGGUAAUACGUAGGGGGCUAGCGUUAUCCGGAUUUACUGGGCGUAAAGGGUGCGUAGGUGGUCCUUCAAGUCGGUGGUUAAAGGCUACGGCUCAACCGUAGUAAGCCGCCGAAACUGGAGGACUUGAGUGCAGGAGAGGAAAGUGGAAUUCCCAGUGUAGCGGUGAAAUGCGUAGAUAUUGGGAGGAACACCAGUAGCGAAGGCGGCUUUCUGGACUGCAACUGACACUGAGGCACGAAAGCGUGGGUAGCAAACAGG
rnacentral:rRNA from 1 species